CCUACGGGAGGCAGCAGUGGGGAAUAUUGGACAAUGGGGGGAACCCUGAUCCAGCCAUGCCGCGUGUGUGAAGAAGGCCCUCGGGUUGUAAAGCACUUUCAGUGAGGAAGAACGCCUGGUGGUUAAUACCCAUCAGGAAAGACAUCACUCACAGAAGAAGCACCGGCUAACUCCGUGCCAGCAGCCGCGGUAAUACGGAGGGUGCGAGCGUUAAUCGGAAUUACUGGGCGUAAAGCGCGCGUAGGUGGCUUGAUAAGCCGGUUGUGAAAGCCCCGGGCUCAACCUGGGAACGGCAUCCGGAACUGUCAAGCUAGAGUGCAGGAGAGGAAGGUAGAAUUCCCGGUGUAGCGGUGAAAUGCGUAGAGAUCGGGAGGAAUACCAGUGGCGAAGGCGGCCUUCUGGACUGACACUGACACUGAGGUGCGAAAGCGUGGGUAGCAAACAGGCUUAGAUACCCUGGUAGUC
rnacentral:rRNA from 1 species